GUGAAGCCCUUCGGGGUGGAUCAGUGGCGAACGGGUGAGUAACACGUGGGCAAUCUGCCCUGCACUCUGGGACAAGCCCUGGAAACGGGGUCUAAUACCGGAUACGACCCGCCCCUGCAUGGGGGUGGGUGGAAAGCUCCGGCGGUGCAGGAUGAGCCCGCGGCCUAUCAGCUUGUUGGUGGGGUAAUGGCCUACCAAGGCGACGACGGGUAGCCGGCCUGAGAGGGCGACCGGCCACACUGGGACUGAGACACGGCCCAGACUCCUACGGGAGGCAGCAGUGGGGAAUAUUGCACAAUGGGCGAAAGCCUGAUGCAGCGACGCCGCGUGAGGGAUGACGGCCUUCGGGUUGUAAACCUCUUUCAGCAGGGAAGAAGCGCAAGUGACGGUACCUGCAGAAGAAGCACCGGCUAACUACGUGCCAGCAGCCGCGGUAAUACGUAGGGUGCGAGCGUUGUCCGGAAUUAUUGGGCGUAAAGAGCUCGUAGGCGGCCUGUCGCGUCGGAUGUGAAAGCCCGGGGCUUAACCCCGGGUCUGCAUUCGAUACGGGCAGGCUAGAGUGUGGUAGGGGAGAUCGGAAUUCCUGGUGUAGCGGUGAAAUGCGCAGAUAUC
rnacentral:rRNA from 1 species